rnacentral:lncRNA from 1 species
GCGGCAGCGACCUGUCCACGCCACCUGAGCGUGGUGUUUGCCCCCUCGUUGGGCAAGCCCGGCAGAAAGUGGGAGCGACUGGAGGGGGCAAGGGACCCGGGGCCUCGGAGCGUGCCGUCGUGGCCGCUCCUGCCAGCCCGGGGACGGUGCGGGAAGGGGGCCCUGCCCUCCGGCCCUCGGGUUCCUGGGACCGGCCCUCCCGCCCUGCACCGGGUCACCAGGUGCCCCGCGGGAGCGCGCUGGGCUCGGGCUGUGGCCGAGACCUGGUACACGUUCGGGGAAACUGAUUACAGCUUGAAAGGCAUCCACCAACGCCUGCUGGGCCCGGUCUUCUCUGUCCGGGGCAGGGCGGCUCUGAAAAUACCAGCUAUUUGCUUGCCACUCCAGGCCGAUGACAGACGUGGAGAAAACCAGCUGCCAGCGAGCUGGAGACGCCCGUUCCCGAGGGCGCGAGGCAGCCACAGCCAAAUGCCACCACGACCCCGCCUCGGAGGGACCGCAGCCCCCUAGCCCUCGGAGAAACCCUGUUCCCGAAACCACCUGGCAGACGCUGUCCGCUUUGAGAUUACAGCAGGGAGAAGGAAACAUGCCCGUCUGGCCGGGGAGCUCAGCCACUAACCGAGACUUAGCCUCUGUCAUCCCAAUCCAGGCUGCAGCUCCAGAUAGGGGGCGUCUGCACACAGCUUCCCACACUUGGCCCCGCGGAACACAGUCCUGCUGGCCUCAGCCUGUGGGAACCCUGCUUCAUGUAAAGGUCACCUAAACUCUGCCUUCCCUCAACCCCUUCAAACUCUGCCUUUCCCUUCGUUCUUGGGAGGCGCUCCCUCAUUGCAGUGGGUCAGUACACCCGAUUUUGUGGACCACAGGUUUGCUCCUGGUGGUCUUGGGCUGAAGGGGCUGCAAAGGUUACUGAAUUUCGUGGAGGUAAAAAUUGCCCGCAGGAAAUGUCAUGAAAGUCCAGGUGCAGUAGGUUUCCUGGUGUGAUGCUUCAAAGUUAUCUUCUUACCUGGAGCCCCUUCCAGCUGCAGACUUCAGAGGUCGGAGGUUAAUCAAUCUGGAAUGACCCCACAGCCCACCCAGCUCCAGCUCGGGAUUCACUCCUGCACUAUGUCCUAGGGAUUCUGGAGCCAACAAGAUCGAACUUCGGGCACAGAUGGCAGGGCUGUGGGGUCGAGCUUGGCUGCAAGCUCCGAACACUGAUGCAAUCUCUCUGAGGGUGAUCUGGCAAUUCAGAAGUCAUAAAAAUGAUAGUGCCCUAUGACCACUUCUACCACUCUGGGGAAUUGAGUUCAAGGAAAGCUUAAGAAGACAAAAAGCAAGUUAUGCAAAUAUGUUAUCUGCUGUGGUGUGGUAAAGUUUAAUCCCCCAGCUGUGGUGCACACCUGGCAAAGAAUGGAGGCGCUGACACUUAUUGAUCAUUACUUGCAGUGUACACGUAUUAACUCCUGAUCCCUGCAAAUAGCCUGCUAUUACCCCCGCUUGACAAUGGAGAAGACAGUUAUCUUACCCAGAUGUCAUUUCCUCUUCCUGGGAGCUGCCAUGGUCCUUCCCCUCUCCUGCAGCACUUAGUCCAAUACUGAAUCUUCAUGAUGUGACUCUUCAUAAUGCGCAUGGUUGACGCAGGAAGGAGCCCUCUCACCAUCAUGUCUCCUCACCUCCUCUGGCCGCUAAUAUUGCUGAAGUGGCUAAAUGAGUCCCAGUAUUAAUUAUCUCAGCCAUUUUCAGAGUGAUACUGAGAAGAAAUGAAAUGGAGAUAGGGAAGAAGGAAGCCGCUCCUCUCUACAGGAUGCCAAAUCAAUGCAGGAGGAGAUUCUGAGAACUACUGGACAACGGCCACAGGGGAACAGGGGAUUCAUUCCAUCUCAAAGCCUCACCCUACACAUUAUCUUUAUUAGCUAUAAAAGGGAAAAGGGAUUUGCAAUGGAGAGUUAUGGCAGACUCCAGCCUCAUGAAGUGACACAACUUAGCAUUGCCACCCAGGGGACAAACCCACACUAUGAGUCUGAUUCAGUGCACCAAGAAGGACAAACAUCACUUACUCUGCUAUAACAUAACGCAGUAUAUUAUACACUAACAUAUGUAGUAUAUUACAUUACAUAAUAACAUAGUACAGGCUUCUAGGACACAGUUUAUAGAAGUGCAGAUAAUACUUGAGGCAGUUUCCCAAACUUGCAAAUAAAAACUCUCCACAGGGCUUGUGACUAGCACAUUCCCAAAGCCCCAAACCCAGAAUUCCACCUGCUUAGUGAGCACCUCCAGAGCACUUUUUUUUUUUUUUUUUUUUGAGACGGAGUUUUGCUCUUGUUGCCCAGGCUGGAGUGCAAUGGCAGGAUCUCGGCUCACUGCAACCUCCACCUCCCAGGUUCAAGCGAUUCUCGUGCCUCAGCCUCCUGAGCAGCUGGGAUUACAGGCACCCACCUAAUUUUUGUAUUUUUAGUAGAGAUGGAGUUUCACCAUGUUGGUCAGGCUGGUCUUGAACUCCCAACCUCAGGUGAUCCACCCACCUUGGCCUCCCAAAGUGCUAGGAUUACAGGCACGAGCCACUGCGCUCGGCCAUCUCUAGGGCAUAUUUUUACUGUGCAAUGUGGGAAUCUCUGCCAUAGGGUGGGCUGCCUUUCUAACCCAGUGGCCCGGUUCUAGCAGGACUUCCCCAGUAUGUGGAUGGGGGCACAGGGACUCUUGGGGGGGCCUCAAGGCAUCUGUGAGCUAGGCCUAACCACCGCUACUGAAUGACUGCGAGAUGAGUCCCAGAGCUGGGACGAGAGUGGGCCUGGUACCCUGCCCCAGCCCUCCCCUGACAGGAGUUAGUAAGGGACAGGUUAGCAUGCUAAAGAGAUAGCAAGCUGGUCACAGCCUAGGGCCACCACCCUUCUGUCUUACAAGUCAGAAACAUGUCCUGACUUUGGGGGAGAGGGUAUAUGUUAAACGGGCCCACCCUGGGAGCUGUAGUGGUCACUGUGGAGCUGAGCACUGGGCUGCACUCCUCGCUGCCCCAGAGUGACCAGGUGGGUGGUUUCAUCCAAGAGGCAGGGCUCAGAAGGCCAGGCUGAGCCACCGAUAUGCAUGUCUGCACCCCACCACUUCCUGCUCAGUCUGUAUCAGGCCCGGGAUGAAAUCGUCACUUAGACGCUCAGGGGUCCUCCCACCCAUCUGGCCAACACAAACCUGCCAGCAUAGCACUGAGUGGAAGGUUCCAGUGCACCCACAGGCCUGGCUGUUAAAAUGUCCGGCCUCUCCAGAGGACAGGUUAAGUUCACACUGAGAAAGCCUGGCUCUCUCCAGCUAGCCUGAAUUAAAGUGAGAAGGAUGAGCACAGCACCUGUGGAAAUGGCGCUGGAAAGCAAGUGUACCUAGGAACUGCCUCUGGGCCACCGAAGUGCGCCGGCCCAGUGUUCUCAGACAACCCAGGAGGAGUCCUCCAUCUGGCCACUUCCCACCCGUUAGGCCCCGAGGGGACACCAGGUUGGUGAGACCCGGACCCCACCAGCAAAGGACCCUUCCUUCAUUCAUCACACACUGGCUCCAUCUGCACUGCACCUACUGCCAGCCAGGCACUGAGCUUCACAUCCGCACAAAACACAAAGACCUCUGAUACGGUUUGGGUCUGUGUUCCCACCUAAACCUCGUGGUGAAUUGUGAUUAUGUUGAGUUGUUUUGGAGGUAGGGCCUGGUGAGAAGUGACUCGAUGAUGGGGUGGAUUUCUCAUGAAUGGUUUAGCACCAUCUCCUUGAUGCUGUUCUUAAGAUAGUGAGUUUUCACGAAAUCUGGUUGUUUAAAAGUGUGCGCCCCACCCCUUGCUUCUGCUCUGGCCAUGUGAUCUGCCUGCCUUCCCCUUCGCCUUCCACCAUGAUUGUAAGAUUCCUGAGGCCUCCCCAGAGGCUGAGCAGAUAUCGGUACUACGCUUGCUAUACAGCCUGCAGAACUAUGAGCCAAUUAAACCUCUUUUCUUUAUAAAUUACCCAGUCUCAAGUAUUUAGAGCAAUGCAAAAAUGGACUACUACAACCUCACGGUUCUGGAGGCUGAAAAGUCUAAGGAUGGAGUGUCCUUCUCAGUGUGCAGUCAAGAUGCCGGCAGGUUUGGGGCCUGGUGAGGCUCUUUGCUUCUUCCAUGGUGUCUUUUGCACGGUGCGUCCUCCGGAGGGGAGGAAGGCUGCAUGCUUACAUGGCAGAAGGUGAAAAGCCAAGAGAGAACCCACUCCCAAAGCCCUCUCAGUAAGGCAUUAAACCCACCAUAAGGGUGCAGCUCUCAUGGCUUAAUCGCCUCUUAAAGGCGCCACCUCCCAAUACCAUUACACCAGCAAUCGAAAUUCAACACGAGUUCUGGAGGGGAAGGCAUUCAAACCCUUGCCCCUUCUCUGAACCGGUGGGACUUGCCCAGCAUGCCAGACUGCCUGGGCUCUGACUCCUUCCUCAGCCUGUGUCACUACGGCCCACAGUUGCAUCAAAGCAUGCUGCUCUCCAUCUCCAGACUCCCAGCCUGGCAUUUCCAAUAUUCUCCCCUUUCACAGCCCCUCAAAUCCAAAUCCUACAGCAAAUGCCGGAGAUUCUAUUUCAGUCCUUUCUUGUCAGGACUGACAGUGUCAGCUGGAGCCCCUGUCCUUUGGGACACCUGUGAAAUGGUCCUGAACACCUCAAGUUGGACCCCCUCAAUAUCAGUUUGGGGGUGUCCCUGAUGUCACCCACUAACCCUAAUGUGCUUCUCAGCGCCUUCAGUUUCCACAUCAACACAACUCCUUAUAGGUUAGUACAAUCCCUUUGAAAAACUGGCAGUGUUCACUGAACAAAUGCCUCCCUAUGACCCAGCAAUUCUACUCCAAAGAAAACACCCAACAGAAAUGAAUACUUAUGCUCACCCCAAGGCAAGUACAAGAACGUUCAGAACAGCCCUAUUCAGAACAGUCCCAAACUGGAAAUGAUGCAAACGUCUGUCAUCACUGGAAUGGAUAAAUACACUGUGGCAUAUUCACACCAACACAAGGAUGAGUCACCUACGACUUCGCUCUCCCACAUGGAUGAGUAAUGCUGUGUGAGGGACCAGCCCAAAAGAGCACAUCCUGUUCCCCAAAGCCCUCAGGCGUCAGACCUCUACCCUGUUAGGAAGGACAGUGGCUGAACCUCCCGCUGCAUGCAACUGGAGGGGCUGUGAGGAGUGGGGUCUGGAGAAGCUCUUCAUUGCAGUCUGGUGUAUGCAAGUGUGACAGUGUACUAUGGGCACACUUGGCAACCACCACCUGUGGGCAGCAUCUGUGGGUGUGACAGACCUCCCUGGACCUGGGCCAUGGGCCUGCGGGGUCCCACAUCCCACGGUCAUGGGCCGUCCACCAUCUUCCUCCCUACCUUAUCUAAUGCCUCCUGGCCCUCCCCACACCCAACAGGGCUCUAGGUCCUUCGUUAAGGCCAGUGGUACCAGCGACACCCAGGCCUUCUCCACAAGCUACAAGGAAUCUGCCCAGCAGCCAGUCUUCCCAGGAGGAGGCCGGGGGCCACCGGCUCAGGACUUGCCUUGCAUUUUUUUUUUUUUUGGCAUGAUCUAGGCUCAUUGCGACCUCCACCUCCCAGGUUCAAGCGGUUCUCCUGCCUCAGCUUCCUGAGUAGCUGGAAUUGCAGGCACCCACCACUGCACCUGGCUAAUUUUUUGUAUUUUUAGUAGAGACGGGGUUUCAUCAUGUUGGCCAGGCUGGUCUCAAACUCCUGACCUCAGGUGAUCCACCCACCUCAGCCUCCCAAAGUGCAGGGAUUACAGGCAUGAGCCACCGCGCCCAGCCAUUGUGUUUUGUUCCUUGUGGGGAUGCACAUCCCUCUUCCAACCUGUGGCUACUGCUCUUGGGGUCCUGUUGCUGGGGGCCCUGCAGUAGACUCCACACAGGUCCUCCUGCCUCCUGGGCCCUCCUCAGAGCCUCCACAGGCUGCAGACUCCACUCCCCAGAUGGAGGUCUGAGCCCGGCACCCUUCCUGCAAACCACUACCUCACAAAAAAGACAAGAAUCCUACACCCCCAACCCAGACCCCUUCCUGGCAGGUCCUCAGGCUGGGCAUGGGCAGAGCAAAGACAGACUUGAGGAGGUAACCAGGGUGAAGGCAAACACUGGGCCAAAACCAGUGGGCAUCCUGAUGUGUGGAUUCCAAAGGGACCAGGCGAGCAGGGAGCAGUACUGAUGUCAGGGAGGCCGGAGGGAGACAGAGGAAGCCCGUAAUCAGGGAGCUUGGGAGCUGCCUGCUGGGCAGGGAGGAGCUGUGGACACCAAUCGGGCACUCUCAAGCCCUUCCCAGCCUGGCUGUCUCCCUCCUCUGGCCCUUCGGUGUUUCCCUUGGGAGUGGUGUGGGUCCCUACCUGGACUCAUCCUGAGGAAGCUGCCUCCUGGAGCAGGCAGGAUGCUGGAGCUCCGUGUGGCCGGCCCUGGUUCUCUGCGAAGCCGCUCCUGAGAGCCUGCCUAGUGCAGAAGUGCCCCGAGCUGGCUGCUCUUCCUGCCUAAAACGGGGCACUGAGCACAGGAGCCUCUGGAUCUGAUCCCCUGCCUGUUUUUGUACGGCUCUCAAGCUAGGAAUACCUUUUACAUUUUUAAAUGAUUGAAAAAAAAAUCCAAGUAAUCAUGGUGUUAAAAUGAUAUGAAAUUUGAAUUUCAGUGUCCAUAAAUCAAGUUGGGACACAGCUUCUCUCAUUCAUUUACAGUUGUCUAAGUUUCUGUCACUCUUCGGCAGCAGAGGUGAGCAGCCAAAACAGAGACUGCAUGGCCUGCAAAGCCUGAAAUAUUUACCGGCUGCUCUUUACAGAAAGAGUUGGCCGUUCACUACCCUGGAGUGUGGACCUCUGGGCGAGGAACCUGUAUCCGUAGCGCUGCCUUGCACGUCCAGGCUCACAGAUAUUCAUCCAAAAGAAAUAAAAAUAUAUGCCUAUAAAAGCCUUGCACAAGAAUGGACACAGAAGACUUAUUCAUUAAAGCUCCAAAGAGGAAACGGCCCAGGGGAAUAUCAACAGGCAAAUGAAGAAACAAAGUGUGGUAUGUUGAAAUAAUUGAUUACUAUUCAACAAUGAAAAGGAAUGAGCUGCAUGCAUCCACCUGCAUGAAUCUCACAAACAUCAUGCUUAGCUGAAGACCAGACACACAAGAGCAGACACUGGAUGAUGCCAUUUACAUAAUGUUCCAGAACGGGUGACAGUAAUACGUCAUGACGGACAUCAGAUAGGGGCUGCUAGAGUCCAGGGGCAGGGUACUCUCAGAGUUUUCUGGGGUAAUAGCAAUGUUCUCUAUUUUGAUGGGGGUGUGAGCCACAUGGGUGCAUGCAUUUGCCAAAAUGAUUUGAACUGUACACCUAAGAUCUGUGUGUCCUAUUAUGUGAGGAAAAGAGAGAUCAGAUUGUUACUGUGUCUGUGUAGAAAGAAGUAGACAUAGGAGACUCCAUUUUGUUCUGUACUAAGAAAAAUUCUUCUGCCUUGAGAUUCUGUUAAUCUGUAACCUUACCCCCAACUCUGUGCUCCUUGAAACAUGUGCUGUGUCAACUCAGGGUUAAAUGGAUUAAGGGCUGUGCAAGAUGUGCUUUGUUAAACAGAUGCUUGAAGGCAGCAUGCUCCUUAAGAGUCAUCACCACUCCCUAAUCUCAAGUAUCCAGGGACACAAAACACUGGGGAAGGCCGCAGGGACCUCUGCCUAGGAAAGCCAGGUAUUGUCCAAGGUUUCUCCCCAUGUGAUAGCCUGAGAUAUGGCCUCAUGGGAAGGGAAAGACCUGACCAUCCCCCAGCCCGACACCCAUAAAGGGUCUGUGCUGAGGAGGAUUAGUAAAAGAGGAAAGAACGCCUCUUUGCAGUUGAGACAAGAGGAAGGCAUCUGUCUCCUGCUCGUCCCUGGGCAAUGGAAUGUCUUGGUGUAAAACCCGAUUGUAUAGUCCAUCUACUGAGAUAGGGGAAAACCGCCUUAGGGCUGGAGGUGGGACAUGAGGGCAGCAAUACUGCUUUUUAAGGCAUUGAGAUGUUUAUGUGUAUGUAUAUCUAAAGCACAGCACUUAAUUCUUUACCUUGUUCAUGAUGCAGAGACCAUUGUUCACGUGUUUACCUGCUGACCUUCUCUCCACUAUUAUCCUAUGACCCUGCCACAUCCCCCUCUCCGAGAAACACCCAAGAAUGAUCAAUAAAUACUAAGGGA